UCAGUCGGCCGGGCGGCCGCUCCGGUGCGAACCGGGGAGGAAAGUCCGGGCUCCAUGGAGAGACGGUGCCGGAUAACGUCCGGCGGGGGCGACCCCAGGGACAGUGCCACAGAGAGCAGACCGCCCUGCUUCAUGCAGGGUAAGGGUGAAAGGGUGCGGUAAGAGCGCACCGCGGACGCGGCAACGCGGACGGCACGGCAAACCCCACCGGGAGCAAAACCGAAUAGGGGCGACACGCCUUCUCCCGAAAGGGAUGGGGCAGGCCCUCUCUCCAGGCUCGUCGCCCGGGUUGGUUGCUCGAGGCGUUCGGUAACGAACGUCCCAGAGGAAUGGCCGCCACGUCCGGAAGUUCGCUUCCGGGCCCUACAGAACCCGGCUUAAAGGCCGGCUGAUCCU
rnacentral:RNase_P_RNA from 2 species